rnacentral:rRNA from 1 species
GAUUGAACGCUGGCGGCAUGCCUUACACAUGCAAGUCGAACGGCAGCACGGGUGCUUGCACCUGGUGGCGAGUGGCGAACGGGUGAGUAAUACAUCGGAACAUGUCCUGUAGUGGGGGAUAGCCCGGCGAAAGCCGGAUUAAUACCGCAUACGAUCUACGGAUGAAAGCGGGGGACCUUCGGGCCUCGCGCUAUAGGGUUGGCCGAUGGCUGAUUAGCUAGUUGGUGGGGUAAAGGCCUACCAAGGCGACGAUCAGUAGCUGGUCUGAGAGGACGACCAGCCACACUGGGACUGAGACACGGCCCAGACUCCUACGGGAGGCAGCAGUGGGGAAUUUUGGACAAUGGGCGAAAGCCUGAUCCAGCAAUGCCGCGUGUGUGAAGAAGGCCUUCGGGUUGUAAAGCACUUUUGUCCGGAAAGAAAUCCUUGGCUCUAAUACAGUCGGGGGAUGACGGUACCGGAAGAAUAAGCACCGGCUAACUACGUGCCAGCAGCCGCGGUAAUACGUAGGGUGCGAGCGUUAAUCGGAAUUACUGGGCGUAAAGCGUGCGCAGGCGGUUUGCUAAGACCGAUGUGAAAUCCCCGGGCUCAACCUGGGAACUGCAUUGGUGACUGGCAGGCUAGAGUAUGGCAGAGGGGGGUAGAAUUCCCACGUGUAGCAGUGAAAUGCGUAGAGAUGUGGAGGAAUACCGAUGGCGAAGGCAGCCCCCUGGGCCAAUACUGACGCUCAUGCACGAAAGCGUGGGGGAGCAAACAGGAUUAGAUACCCUGGUAGUCCACGCCCUAAACGAUGUCAACUAGUUGUUGGGGAUUCAUUUCCUUAGUAACGUAGCUAACGCGUGAAGUUGACCGCCUGGGGAGUACGGUCGCAAGAUUAAAACUCAAAGGAAUUGACGGGGACCCGCACAAGCGGUGGAUGAUGUGGAUUAAUUCGAUGCAACGCGAAAAACCUUACCUACCCUUGACAUGGUCGGAAUCCCGCUGAGAGGUGGGAGUGCUCGAAAGAGAACCGGCGCACAGGUGCUGCAUGGCUGUCGUCAGCUCGUGUCGUGAGAUGUUGGGUUAAGUCCCGCAACGAGCGCAACCCUUGUCCUUAGUUGCUACGCAAGAGCACUCUAAGGAGACUGCCGGUGACAAACCGGAGGAAGGUGGGGAUGACGUCAAGUCCUCAUGGCCCUUAUGGGUAGGGCUUCACACGUCAUACAAUGGUCGGAACAGAGGGUUGCCAACCCGCGAGGGGGAGCUAAUCCCAGAAAACCGAUCGUAGUCCGGAUUGCACUCUGCAACUCGAGUGCAUGAAGCUGGAAUCGCUAGUAAUCGCGGAUCAGCAUGCCGCGGUGAAUACGUUCCCGGGUCUUGUACACACCGC